rnacentral:rRNA from 1 species
GAUCCUGGCUUAGGAUGAACGCUGGCGGCAGGCUUAAUACAUGCAAGUCGAACGGUAAGGUCCGAAGUGGCAACACGGAGGAUACACGAGUGGCGCACGGGUGCGUAACGCGUAUGCAACCUGCCCCCGACCGGGACAAAACAGCUGGAAACGGCUGCUAAUAUCCCAUGGUCAUGCGGAAGGGCAUCCUUCUUCAUGUAAAGAUUCAUUGGUCGGGGAUGGGCAUGCGUAUUAUUAGGUAGUUGGCGGGGUAACGGCCCACCAAGCCGACGAUGAUUAGGGGUCCUGAGAGGGUUAACCCCCACACUGGAACUGAGACACGGUCCAGACUCCUACGGGAGGCAGCAGUAGGGAAUAUUGGGCAAUGGGAGCAAUCCUGACCCAGCCAUGCCCGCGUGAAGGAAGACGGCCCUAUGGGUUGUAAACUUCUUUUGCCGCAGAGUAAACCCGGUCACGAGUGGUCGGUUGAGAGUAUGCGGCGAAUAAGUAUCGGCUAACUCCGUGCCAGCCGCCGC